GAUGAACGCUGGCGGCGUGCCUAAUACAUGCAAGUCGAGCGAACAGAUGAGGAGGUUUCCUCUCUUACGUUAGCGGCGGACGGGUGAGUAACACGUGGAUAACCUACCUAUAAGACUGGGAUAACAUCGUGAAACCGGAGCGAAUACCGGGUAAUAGAUUGAACCGCAGGGUUCAAUAGAGAAAGACGGUUUUGCUUUCACGUAUAGAUGGAUCCCGGCCGGAUUAUCUAGUUGGUGAGGUAAUGGCUUACCAAGGCAACGAUGCGUAGCAGACCUGGGAGGGUGACGGGCCACACUGGAACUGAGACACGGCCCAGACUCCUACGGGAGGCAGCAGUAGGGAAUUUUCGCAAAUGGGCGAAAGCCUGACAAAGCAACGCCGCGUGAGUAGUGAAGGUCUUCGGAUCGUAAAACUCUGUUAUUAGGAAAGAACAAAUGUGUGAGAAUCUAUGCACGUCUUGACGGUACCUAAUCAGAAAGCCACGGCUAACUACGUG
rnacentral:rRNA from 1 species